rnacentral:rRNA from 1 species
CACCGCGGUCAUACGAGUGUUUAGCCCAAGCGGAUAACUAGCGGCGUAAAGAGUGGUUAGGGCCAACAAACAACUAAAGUAGAACUACCCCCGGGCUGUUAUACGCAUCCGAUAGUACGAAUCCCCACUACGAAAGUAGCUUUAAACCCCGCCCGAACCCACGAGAGUUAGGAAA